AGUGAGCGCUGGCGGUAGGCCUAACACAUGCAAGUCGAACGGCAGCACAGUAAGAGCUUGCUCUUACGGGUGGCGAGUGGCGGACGGGUGAGGAAUACAUCGGAAUCUACUUUUUCGUGGGGGAUAACGUAGGGAAACUUACGCUAAUACCGCAUACGACCUACGGGUGAAAGCAGGGGAUCUUCGGACCUUGCGCGAUUGAAUGAGCCGAUGUCGGAUUAGCUAGUUGGCGGGGUAAAGGCCCACCAAGGCGACGAUCCGUAGCUGGUCUGAGAGGAUGAUCAGCCACACUUGAACUGAGACACGGUCCAGACUCCUACGGGAGGCAGCAGUGGGGAAUAUUGGACAAUGGGCGCAAGCCUGAUCCAGCCAUACCGCGUGGGUGAAGAAGGCCUUCGGGUUGUAAAGCCCUUUUGUUGGGAAAGAAAAGCAGCAGGUUAAUACCCCGCUGUUCUGACGGUACCCAAAGAAUAAGCACCGGCUAACUUCGUG
rnacentral:rRNA from 1 species